AAGAGUCAGUAGGGCGAUCAAAGGAUGAUACAUUUGUAUUGUUUUUUCAACUCUUCCACUUCCUGUUCAUGCCGUUUCCUCAAGGUCUCUAUUUCUUCUUUUAAAAGCCUUGAUUGGUUUUGUUUGUCUUCCAUUUCUUCUUCAUGUGUUCUCUUCAACUCCUUUACUUCUUCUUUCAGUGUUUCUUCUUUGUAACUUGAGAGGUCUUUUAACAGAUUGUACUUUUCACCAUGGCUCUCUGCUGACUCUUGUAUUUGUCUCUCAUGUCUUUGCUUCAUGUCCUGUAUUUCCUCCAUGUGCUUCUCGACCAACGCUGUGAAGUCCUUGGUGUAUUUCUGUCUGAACUCAUUGAACUCUUCAGCCUGUUUUCUGGCCUCCUCUUCAUAUUUCUUCUUCAUGUCCUCA